rnacentral:rRNA from 1 species
AGGGUUUGAUCCUGGCUCAGAACGAACGCUGGCGGCGUGGAUUAGGCAUGCAAGUCGAGCGCGAACGUGGCUUCGGCCACUAGUAGAGCGGCACAAGGGUGAGUAACACAUGGACAACUUGCCCUCGAGACUGGAAUAACGGUGGGAAACCGCCGCUAAUGCCGGAUGGCCCUGCGACACGGCAUCGUGUUGUAGGUAAAGGUGGGGAUCUUCGGACCUGCCGCUCGAGGAGAGGUUCAUGCACUAUCAGCUAGUUGGUGAGGUAACGGCUCACCAAGGCGACGACGGUUAGGCGACCUGAGAGGGUGACCGCCCACACUGGGACUGAGACACUGCCCAGACUCCUACGGGAGGCUGCAGUCGAGAAUCUUCCGCAAUGGACGAAAGUCUGACGGAGCGACGCCGCGUGCGGGAUGAAGGGCUUUGGCUUGUAAACCGCUGUCAGGUGUUAGGAACGCGUAACGGCUAAUAACCGUUGCGUUGACAAAAGCACCAAAGGAAGCCACGGCUAACUCUGUGCCAGCAGCCGCGGUAAUACAGAGGUGGCAAGCGUUGUUCGGUAUCACUGGGCUUAAAGGGCGCGUAGGCGGCGCGGUACGGUCUGGGUGAAAUCCCUCGGCUCAACCGAGGAAUUGCCUGGGCAACGGCCGUGCUAGACAGCAUCAGGGGAAGGUGGAACUCGCGGUGGAGCGGUGAAAUGCGUAGAUAUCGCGAGGAACGCCGGUGGCGAAAGCGACCUUCUGGGGUGCUUGUGACGCUGAGGCGCGAAAGCUAGGGGAGCGAACGGGAUUAGAUACCCCGGUAGUCCUAGCCCUAAACGAUGUGCACUAGGUAGUGGGUCGUUCCGACGACCCGCUGCCGGAGCAAAAGUUUUAAGUGCACCGCCUGGGGACUACGGUCGCAAGACUAAAACUCAAAGGAAUUGACGGGGGCUCACACAAGCGGUGGAGGAUGUUGCUUAAUUCGAAGCAACGCGAAGAACCUUACCAGGACUUGACAUGCUAGUAGUACGGACUGGAAACAGCGAGGACCCAUUUAUUUGGGAGCUAGCACAGGUGUUGCAUGGCUGUCGUCAGCUCGUGCCGUGAGGUGUUGGGUUAAGUCCCGUAACGAGCGAAACCCCUGCCAAUAGUUGCCAGCGAGUAAAGUCGGGGACUCUAUUGGGACUGCCCGUGUCAAGCGGGAGGAAGGUGGGGAUGACGUCAAGUCAUCAUGGCCCUUACGUCCUGGGCUGCAAACGU